AUGUUUGCCUGGCAGAGGAGACACCAUUAUCACAAAGGUGGUGUUCCCAAGGCGAGGCUUCCCCAUUGCACUCCAGAUGCACUGACUCCUGCAAUUUCCCCAAAUGCAAGAAACCUGACUGCAUAAUUUGUGGUAGUGGGGGGCUGCAUUCGUGCACUCCCCUG
rnacentral:snRNA from 1 species